UACGUAGGCAGCGAGCGUUGUUCGGAGUUACUGGGCGUAAAGGGUGCGUAGGCGGUUGUUUAAGUUUGGUGUGAAAUCUCCCGGCUCAACUGGGAGGGUGCGCCGAAUACUGAAUGACUAGAGUGCGGGAGAGGAGAGUGGAAUUCCUGGUGUAGCGGUGAAAUGCGCAGAUAUCAGGAGGAACACCGGUGGCGAAGGCGGUGGUCUGGGCCGGCACUGACGCUGAGGAGCGAAAGCGUGGGUAGCAAACAGG
rnacentral:rRNA from 1 species